GCCUGUAAUCCCCGCAACCCCGGAGGCUGGAGGCAGGAGGACCACUUGAGUCCAGGAGUUCUGGGGUGUAGUGCGCUAUGCCAAUCGGGUGUCCGCACUAAGUUUGGCAUCAAUAUGGUGACCUCCCGGGAGCGGGGGACCACCAGGUUGCCUAAGGAGGGGUGAACCAGCCCAGGUCAUAAAUGGAGCAGGUCAAAACUCCCAUGCUGAUCAGGAAAGGAUUAGUUCCCACAGGAGCCUUCCUCCUGCUUCUGUCAGCUAUGUUACAAUGUAGAACCAG
rnacentral:SRP_RNA from 1 species